CAGUGAUAUGCCCUUCCAAGCCCUACCCAAAAGUGCAGUAUUCAAUAGAAAAAGUAUAACUAACAAGUAAAAAAAAUGUAAAUAUGGGAAAUAAGAAAUGAGAGGAAAUAUAUACAUGUGCCAUUGCCAAAUGUUCAAUGUGCAGGGAUACUGGAGUAUAGAGGUAGAUAUGUACAUGUAGGCAGGGAUACUGGAGUAUAGAGGUAGAUAUGUACAUGUAGGCAGGGAUACCGGAGUAUAGAGGUAGAUAUGUACAUGUAGCCAGGGAUACUGGAGUAUAGAGGUAGAUAUGUACAUGUAGCCAGGGAUACUGGAGUAUAGAGGUAGAUAUGUACAUGUAGGCAGGGAUACUGGAGUAUAGAGGUAGAUAUGUACAUGUAGCCAGGGAUACUGGAGUAUAGAGGUAGAUAUGUACAUGUAGCCAGGGAUACUGGAGUAUAGAGGUAGAUAUAUACAUGUAGCCAGGGAUUAGGAGAAAGUGACAUGGAGAAACGUAAAUAAUAAUAUUAACAAUUAUAAUUACAUUAUAAUUAUAAUAAUAAACAGUAUGGCAGCAGCAUAAGUGGUGGGUGUGUGCGUGUUGGUGUGUGUGUGUAGGUACGUGUGUGCGUGUUGGUGAGUGGGUGUAGGUACGUGUGUGCGUGUUGGUGAGUGUGUGUAGGUACGUGUGUGGGUGUGUGCGUGUUGGUGAGUGGGUGUAGGU
rnacentral:lncRNA from 1 species